AUACUUACCUGGCAAGGGAGGUACCAUGAUCAUGGGGGUGGUUUUUUCCAAGGCGGGGCUUAUCCCUUGCACUCCAGAUCUGCUGAUUCCUGUGAUUUCUCCAAAUGCUGGAAACUCAUCUGCAUAAUUGGGGGGACUGUGUUCACCCCCUCCCCUG